rnacentral:rRNA from 1 species
AAACUCAAAUGAAUUGACGGGNGCCUGCACAAGCGGUGGAGCAUGUGGUUUAAUUCGAAGCAACGCGCAGAACCUUACCAGCGUUUGACAUGUCCGGACGAUUUCGGGAGACCGAUCUCUUCCCUUCGGGGACUGGAACACAGGUGCUGCGUGGCUGUUGUCAGCUCGUGUCGUGAGAUGUUGGGUUAAGUCCCGCAACGAGCGCAACCCUCGCCUUUAGUUACCAUCAUUCAGUUGGGGACUCUAAAGGAACCGCCGGUGAUAAGCCGGAGGAAGGUGGGGAUGACGUCAAGUCCUCAUGGCCCUUACGCGCUGGGCUACACACGUGCUACAAUGGCGGUGACAGUGGGCAGCAAUCCCGCAAGGGUGAGCUAAUCUCCAAAAGCCGUCUCAGUUCGGAUUGUUCUCUGCAACUCGAGAGCAUGAAGGCGGAAUCGCUAGUAAUCGCGGAUCAGCAUGCCGCGGUGAAUACGUUCCCAGGCCUUGUACACACCGCCCGU